UGUCACCCUUUUUGUUGAUCCCUCACUGUGAUAUAAUAAGAUAUAAUCUCUCUGGGAUUCAAUUUUUCCUUCUCCUCUAACAUUCAACCUAAGACAACUUUCUUGUUCCGUCUCUGCAGUCCCCUGGCUCAGGCUCUUCUUCCCCUCCAGGAGCUGGGUCAUCCAGCAAGCUUCUGUCACAGGAUGAAAGCUUUCGAGGUUCUCUGUCUCAAAAAGAGUCCAGGAAAAGGCUUACUUCCUUCCCCACAUAUGUAGAAGUGCCUGGCCCCUGUGAUCCAGAGGACCUAAUUGAUGGGAUCAUCUUUGCAGCUAACUGUCUUGGAUCCACACAGAUGUUAUCAGAGAAGACACCAUCGAAGAACAUUCGCAUGAUCCAAGCACAGGAAGCAGUUAACCGCAUCAAGGUAAACACUUAAAAGGAAUCCCACAGAAUGAACAUGAAUUAGCCUUUAGGUAAUGAGAAUCACAUGUUGACCUAAAUGUCUAUAUGCCUGUGGCUGACAGUUUUGUUGUUCUGUCAGUCAACCCCUCACCCCUAGAUUAAGACCUCCAAACAAAAUGUUCUAGGGGACUGGGGCUGAGGUGGGGACAAAGGCAGGGGUGAAAGUAAGCUGGUACGGUCCAGUACUGCAUUCCGGUAAAUAUUCUGAGCCGAUAUGCAGUGCCGGGAGAACGGCUGGAAUAAGGCCGUCAUUCAGAACGGCUGCACUUCGAGUCAAAGUAGAUCUACGAUCAAUAGACAGUCUAAAACACGAGUUAAUAUGUCUAUAAAUAUAUUUUUU